GUGAAUCAUCGAAUCUUUGAACGCAAAUUGCGCUUCCUGGUAUCCCGGGAAGUAUGCCUGUUUGAGGGUCAGUAUUAACAAAAAAUCGGUUUGGUUGCAAAUUGUGACGUUUCCGGAGUUUGGGCUUAUCUUAACUUUUUUGGUUCAGGUGCUUAAAAUUGACCUUUUUUGCGCAUUUUUAGACGGACAUAAAUUUUUUUUUGUUCGUGUUUUCGUAUUGCCUAAAUCG
rnacentral:misc_RNA from 1 species